GACGUAGGGCGCGAGCGUUGUCCGGAUUUAUUGGGCGUAAAGAGCUCGUAGGCGGCUUGUUGCGUCAGCUGUGAAAACCCGCAGCUCAACUGUGGGCUUGCAGCUGAUACGGGCAGGCUUGAGUUCGGUAGGGGAGACUGGAAUUCCUGGUGUAGCGGUGAAAUGCGCAGAUAUCUGGAGGAACACCGGUGGCGAAGGCGGCAUCCUGGACCGGUAUUGACGCUGAGGAGCGAAAGCCAGGGGAGCAAACGGG
rnacentral:rRNA from 1 species